GCCCGGGUGGUGGAAUGGUAUACACGUCAGACUUAAAAUCUGAUUCCCGCGAGGGAUUGCGGGUUCGACUCCCGCUCCGGGCA
rnacentral:tRNA from 1 species